rnacentral:rRNA from 1 species
CCAAUAGCGUAUUUUAAAGUUGCUGCAGUUAAAAAGCUCGUAGUUGAAUUUCGGGACCAUCAUGUCGGUCGUGCCUCGGUACGUACUGGCAUUGUUGGUUUCUCCCUUCUGACGAACCAUGAUGUCAUUUAUUUGGUGUUGUGGGGAAUCAGGACUGUUACUUUGAAAAAAUUAGAGUGUUUAAAGCAGGCUCACGCUUGAAUACAUUAGCAUGGAAUAACGAAAUAGGACGUUUGAUUCUAUUUUGUUGGUUUCUAGGAUCGACGUAAUGAUUAAUAGGGAUAGUUGGGGGCAUUAGUAUUCAAUUGUCAGAGGUGAAAUUCUUGGAUUUAUUGAAGACUAACUACUGCGAAAGCAUUUGCCAAGGAUGUUUUCAUUAAUCAAGAACGAAAGUUAGGGGAUCGAAGACGAUCAGAUACCGUCGUAGUCUUAACCAUAAACUAUGCCGACUAGGGAUCGGAUGAUGUUAAUUUUUUAAUGACUCAUUCGGCGCCUUACG